UACGUAGGGGGCAAGCGUUGUCCGGAAUUAUUGGGCGUAAAGCGCGCGCAGGCGGUCUUUUAAGUCUGAUGUGAAAGCCCACGGCUCAACCGUGGAGGGUCAUUGGAAACUGGGAGACUUGAGUGCAGAAGAGAAGAGUGGAAUUCCACGUGUAGCGGUGAAAUGCGUAGAGAUGUGGAGGAACACCAGUGGCGAAGGCGACUCUUUGGUCUGUAACUGACGCUGAGGCGCGAAAGCGUGGGGAGCAAACAGG
rnacentral:rRNA from 1 species